rnacentral:tRNA from 1 species
UGAUUCAUAGUAUAAUGGUAGUACAGCAGAUUUUGGUUCUGCUAGUAGGAGUUCGAAUCUCUUUGAAUCAA